rnacentral:rRNA from 1 species
GAUGAACGCUGGCGGCGUGCCUAAUACAUGCAAGUCGAGCGAACGGACGAUAAGCUUGCUUCUCUGAUGUUAGCGGCGGACGGGUGAGUAACACGUGGGUAACCUACCUAUAAGACUGGGAUAACUUCGGGAAACCGGAGCUAAUACCGGAUAAUAUUUUGAACCGCAUGGUUCAAAAGUGAAAGACGGUCUUGCUGUCACUUAUAGAUGGAUCCGCGCUGCAUUAGCUAGUUGGUAAGGUAACGGCUUACCAAGGCAACGAUGCAUAGCCGACCUGAGAGGGUGAUCGGCCACACUGGAACUGAGACACGGUCCAGACUCCUACGGGAGGCAGCAGUAGGGAAUCUUCCGCAAUGGGCGAAAGCCUGACGGAGCAACGCCGCGUGAGUGAUGAAGGUCUUCGGAUCGUAAAACUCUGUUAUUAGGGAAGAACAUAUGUGUAAGUAACUGUGCACAUCUUGACGGUACCUAAUCAGAAAGCCACGGCUAACUACGUG